rnacentral:SRP_RNA from 1 species
UAAAGAAAACUGAAUCAUUGCCCUUUUAUAGCUUCGCCUGGUAUGGUUUGGGUCCUGCGCAAUGGGAUGCCGUGAACCUUGUCAGGUCCGGAAGGAAGCAGCAAUAAGCGGAAGUUCUUAUGUGCCGCAGAUAAGCCUUCUCCAACGCCUGCGGAGCUAUAAAAGGGCAAUUUUUUUA